GGCGGACAUUCGCGCCGCGUUAACCAAUCAGGAGCUUUCUCUAGUAGUGACGUGAUUACAGGAAGCCAGCAGACGGUGGAGGCAGAAAUGCAAAACAAUGGAGAUCAAUCGUCGUGAGACAUCUUCGUACUUUUUACCGAAACAGGAAUUUAAAAGAUCUUGGUUGGAAGAAAGUGAGUGAGGAGGAUCGAACAAUCUGCCGACUGGUUCUUUUGAUGGUGGUGAGCCUGUGUCCCCUAUGAACCUGCUGCUGCUUCUGCUUCCCAUGCCGACCCAUCAACAUCUGCAGCUGUCCCCGCAGCGCCACCAAGAUGAAGAGCUCAGAGAAGGCCUAGAUAGCAGCCAUCAGUGGUGAAGUGGCAGCCUCCUAGAAGCACUCCGGAGUCCGGACCAGUCCUGUAGAUCCAGCACCGCCUCCACGCUCAGAGGAUGAGCUCUUCCUCUUGAGUCUGGUCCCUUACCUGCAGAGGUUGCUACCUCAGAUGAAAAAAAUUGUUAAAUUUAAAGUUCACAAAUUAAUUUAUUAAAGCAGCACAGUUGUGCUUAAUGUGGAGCCUACAAUGUAGUUUUAAAAAAGAGGCAGCAAUCUCUGCAGGUAAUGAACCAGACUUUCUCUCCUCUCCUUCACUUUGGCUCUCCCCCUUCCAAGCAAGAUCCUUUCUUAUUCCUCUAUGUAAAUAGUUGUAAAGGUUCUUUGUAUAUAUUGAUGUAUUUUGUAUAAAUAAAUGGUCUAUACAGUCACCAAAGGUUUUGGUAUUUUACUUUGCGCACAACAUAGUAAAUCACAGUUUAGACUUUGUUUAGACAUCAACAGAAGCUGGUGGUGAUUGUACGGGAGGAGUCUCCAGUGGUAAGAUAUCUGAAAGAGAGAAAAUAAAAUAAACAUUGUCAUAAAUGCAGAUUGCAAUUCCAUAUUAGCAAAUAUAAAAUUAUAAAACUGGU